UGGGGAAUAUUGGACAAUGGGGGAAACCCUGAUCCAGCGACGCCGCGUGGGUGAUGAAGGCUUUCGAGUCGUAAAGCCCUGUCAGGAGGAAAGAACGCUCCUAUAGCGAAUACCUAUAGGAAGUGACGGUACCUCCAAAGGAAGCACCGGCCAACUCCGUGCCAGCAGCCGCGGUAAGACGGAGGGUGCGAGCGUUGCUCGGAAUCACUGGGCGUAAAGGGUGCGUAGGCGGUCGAUCAAGUCUGACGUGAAAGCCCAGGGCUCACCCCUGGAAGUGCGCCAGAAACUGAUGGACUUGAGUACCGGAGGGGAGAGUGGAAUUCCCGGUGUAGCGGUGAAAUGCGUAGAUACCGGGAGGAAUACCGGUGGCGAAAGCGACUCUCUGGACGGUUACUGACGCUGAGGCACGAAAGCGUGGGGAGCAAACAGGAUUAGAUACCCCCGUAGUCC
rnacentral:rRNA from 1 species